CGCUGCGGCGCUGCGGGCACGGCGGGCGAGCAGAUAAAAGAGGGAUUAUUACCCCCAUUUGACAGAGGAUACUGAAUCACAGAGAUGAAGUGAUUUACCCAAGCCCACUGACAUGACAGGUGUUGAAAGAGGUCACACCAGACUUCCUGAAAUUAUGGAGAGCUGUUGUGUCCUGCCUACAUUUGCAAAGUGAGUGCACCCCACCUGGAUCCUUCCAAUCAGAUUCCGGAAGAAGAGAAACUGAAGAAAUAAUAAUUACAACAAUAAACAAAGAUGUCAGAAAUCUGCCAAACCGAGC